rnacentral:tRNA from 1 species
UGGCGCGCUGGUUGACGUCGGCGACCUCGCUCUCGGACGGGCAGCCGGGCGCGCGCUCCAGGUAGCGCCGGUUCGACUCCGUCGACGCCUC